UCGCUAAAAGGAACCUAAUGGAUCGUACACCGUGUAAGGUAGAGAUUGAAGAAACAAAGGAGAUGAGUAAGGAUAAUUAAAUGGUUUAUUAUUAUUUAUUUAUGGCAAGGAUUAAUUAAUAUGUUAAUUAAUCAAACGAAUAAAGUUCGUUAAAAGACCUCGGGUUAGUUUUGGGCCUCAAGGCCCAAUGGGCUUCGAACGUCAAGCCCAUUAACUUA
rnacentral:lncRNA from 1 species